AUGUAAAUAUAAACAAUAAGUUCGCUAUAGAGAUGUGACAAAUAAUAUGAA
rnacentral:guide_RNA from 1 species